AUUGAGCGCUGGCGGAAUGCUUUACACAUGCAAGUCGAGCGGCAGCGCGGGGGCGAACCCUCGCGGCGAGCGGCGAACGGGUGAGUAAUACAUCGGAACACGUCCAGUUGUGGGGGAGUAGCCCGGCGAAAGCCGGAUUAAUACCGCAUGAGCUCUGGCGAGGAAAGCGGGGGACCCGUAAGGGCCUCGCGCGACUGGGUUGGCCGAUGUCCGAUUAGCUAGUUGGUGGGGUAAAGGCNCACCAAGGCGAUGAUCGGUAGCUGGUCUGAGAGGAUGAUCAGCCACACUGGGACUGAGACACGGCCCAGACUCCUACGGGAGGCAGCAGUGGGG
rnacentral:rRNA from 1 species